rnacentral:lncRNA from 1 species
AUGGCUGCCUUGGACGUGGAUAGCGGCGGCGGCGGUGGCGGCGGCGGCGGCCACGGCGAGUAUCUGCAGCAGCAGCAACAGCACGGAAACGGUGCGGUGGCGGCGGCAGCGGCGGCCCAGACACUCAGCCGUCACCGCUCGCUCUGCUGGCCGCUACCUGCAGCAAGAUAGGGCCGCCAUCGCCGGGCGACGACGAGGAGGAGGCGGCCGCCGCAGCCGGGGCCCCCGCCGCCGCCGGAGCACAGGUGAUUUGGCUUCUGCACAGUUAGGAGGAGCACCAAACCGAUGGGAGGUUUU